UCCCAAGCCACUUGUGACAUCAAGAUCAAGUGUAAACAAACCCCCUAUCCGGCGUGCAUGGCUGCCUAACCAGCCCCAGAAAUCAUCCCAGAAGAAGAAGGUGUGCUUGGCGAGGCCGUGCAGGCGUGUGCCGGAAGUCGCAGAGCACCUUUGACGAGGAGUGGAGAGCAGGCGCUGCCACGGGUCGGCUGACGACGCCACCGACGGCAAGAUGUUCCUCCACUCAAGCACUUCAGCCGUGUCCCGCCUUCUGUCUGCUGCUCCUGGCCGGGCUGUGCUGAGCUGUUCUCUGCACACAAGAUGGCGCCCCAAAGGUUGCUCAGGUACACAAUGCCAAGGUGUGGGCAGGGGAACCACCCUUCAACAAGCCAGACAGCAUUUGUGGUCAAGAUUGCAGGGCAGUCCUAGCAUGCAUCAAGCAUUUCUGUGGAGAAGUGGCAGUGAUGCAGCUUCAUACAGCACUGCCAACACCAGCAGUGAAUUCUCCAAGACCACAAGCAAACCUGUGUUUACAGAGGCCUCAAAUGCAACAGAAGGGGAUGAAGUAGAUCUUGAGGCCUUGGUAGAAUUGGAGGUAGAGUUGUAUCGGCAGGAAGGCUAUCUAGUGCCCUCCAAAUUCAGUCCCAGAGAGUGGCAGGAUCUACUGACUCUACCUUCAGUUAAUGCUCGAAAAAAAUUCCUUCUGUUUCUCUUCAAGAAUGAAAAGAGAAGUGAAAACCAAAGAAAGAUAAAGGAACUGAAUAAGGAGAAGAGGGAGGAGGAACACAGACUACUGAGAGAGAACUCACCACAGGAAGGUGGACACAUUGAUUAUGGUCUGUGGAAGAACAGCAUUUUCUUGAAGGUUUUUGAUGCGUCAAUUAACCAUUUCUACCACUGCCGUGUGGUGCAGGCCAUGCUCCACGGACAGCCCCUGGUGGUGGACCUGGACUAUGAAGAACACAUGUCAAGAAAGGAACGACAAAACUGUGCCUACCAGUUACAGAUGAUGAUGAGUGCCAACAGAAAACAUCAGGACCCCUACAGCCUUGAGCUGCAUAAUGCACCGCAGACCCAGGAUACAAUGGCUCGCCUCCUGCGCUACGUUCCUACUCUCUACAAGCCAGAGUUUCCGGUGGUGGUCAACCCUGACAGUUAUUUGGAGAAAUACCCGCGGGAACGGCUGGUCUACUUGACGCCGCACUGCCGAGAGGAACUUAUAACCUACGACCACAAUGCUGUUUAUAUCAUUGGCGGCAUUGUUGACAAAUCUUCCGGGGAGCCACUGAGUCUUGCCAAGGCCAAGAGAGAGGGAAUUCGUAUGAAGAAGCUUCCAUUGGAUAGAUACCUCUCAUGGAAGCUUGGCAACAAGUGCCUCACUCUCAACCAAACUAUUGAAAUUAUGUUGGACUUCAAAAUGACAGGUGACUGGCCGUACGCUCUUCGCCAUGUUCCUCGCAGAAAGCUUCAGGGGCCACUUCAGAGUCAACAAGCAAGGGAGAAGGCAAUACUUAGAAGGAUCCAGGAGAGGGAGAGGCGUCCCUCCUCUGCUUGAUCUAUUUAGACACCCGUCCCAUGGCUGACAGCAGGCAAAAAGCAGGAUACAGUGGAUAUUUCUGUGGACCCUUGGUUCCACGGGCUGCAUCAAGAAGCUAACACAUUCAUUCUUCCACAGGGACUUCAAGGACUGCUAGAGAUCAUCCUAGAGAAAAACUGUUCCUCUACCAUGUAUAUAAAAAGAAUGAAGCUAAUGAUGAAAACUGUUGUAACAGUAAGAUUUAUGUGAUAUUGUAACUGUUGAUGAUGAUAAAAUCUUGAAUGAUACUUA